GUCGGGAUAGCUCAGUCGGUAGAGCAG
rnacentral:tRNA from 2 species